UACGUAGGGCGCAAGCGUUGUCCGGAAUUAUUGGGCGUAAAGAGCUCGUAGGCGGUUUGUUGCGUCGGCUGUGAAAUCCCGAGGCUCAACCUCGGGUCUGCAGUCGAUACGAGCAAACUAGAGUGUUGCAGGGGAGACUGGAAUUCCUGGUGUAGCGGUGAAAUGCGCAGAUAUCAGGAGGAACACCGGUGGCGAAAGGCGGGUCUCUGGGCAACAACUGACGCUGAGGAGCGAAAUGCGUGGGGAGCGAACAGG
rnacentral:rRNA from 1 species